GAUCUUGAGAGACAAAAAGGAAGAGAGGAAGAAGGAGGAAAACAGAGAGAAAUGAUAGAAGAGUCUUAUAUGACGGUAUCAUCAGAUGAUUCCUCUCUUUUUUCUUCUUCUUCAGCACCUUCUAUGCCAUUAUCCAUACAAAAAGAGUU
rnacentral:ribozyme from 1 species